rnacentral:rRNA from 1 species
UACGUAGGGGGCAAGCGUUGUCCGGAAUCAUUGGGCGUAAAGCGCGUGUAGGCGGUUCGGUAAGUCUGCUGUGAAAGUCCAGGGCUCAACCCUGGGAUGCCGGUGGAUACUGUCGGGCUAGAGUACGGAAGAGGCGAGUGGAAUUCCCGGUGUAGCGGUGAAAUGCGCAGAUAUCAGGAGGAACACCGGUGGCGAAGGCGGGUCUCUGGGCCGAUACUGACGCUGAGGAGCGAAAGCGUGGGGAGCGAACAGG